AUGAAUGACAUGAUUAUGAACAGUAUACACUUCCUGGCAUACACCGAAUCCACGUGGGUGGGUGUGGCCUUAGGGCACUGUGCAUCGGCGGAGCCAGAAUUCCACAUGUUGAUCAAACACUUCCUGAAGGAAGACUUUGAAUUCUAUCAUGUGGAUGUGGGGGAGAUUGAGAUGCCCUACCAGCUGGAGUGUCCUGGACCCCGUGCAUCAGAUUUAAGCCGAGGGGAGUCACAGAGUUGUUCCCCUAUCAGUGGAAGGACUUCAGCGGGGAAGCCUACGACUUCCGCUCCCUAUAAAAGUUCCUUGAUGAGCAUGUGGAAAGGUUAGAGAAAAAACAAGAAAUCACGCGGAAGAUCAGAUGUAGAUGAACAAGCCUAUUAACCUUGAAAGAAUGAAGGAUUUCUGUGACAAUAAAACGAUUCAGAUGAUAUUCAUUUCCUUGAUAUUCCAUAACAUUU
rnacentral:sRNA from 1 species